GGGCGGGGUUCCGUCGGCGUCGACCGUGGGCGGGGUUCCGUCGGCGUCGACCGUGGGCGGGGUUCCGUCGGCGGUUGGAGGAUCGGGGUGGGCGGCAGCAGUUGUGCAGGAGUAGGACGUUGGCUGAUUUCUACCUACUAUCCAUUGCAGGACACUAAGACUCAUUUGAAGAUGGCCUGAAGCCUCUGUCACAGCCACAAUCAAUUAAACUAGCACACCCUGAAGAUCAAAACUGGAACUUCUGGUGCAAUAUUUCAACAUCAGCUGGCAGGGGAAGGCAAAUGUAGAUUGGAAGAUCUCACCUACCCUCAAAUCAACCUGACUAUGCAAGGCAGUAUCAGAUUAAGAUGCUAUUACUCAGCUAAUAUGGAACAUCUCUUGCCAUUUCUGCAAGUAAUGUAACCUUGAAGAUGCUUGCUUUGCGAAAAGUCAACUUUAUAUAACAAAGCACAUAAAUACAUUUUCAAAAAUGA